UACAGAGGAGCCAAGCGUUGUCCGGAUUGACUGGGCGUAAAGCGCACGCAGGCGGGGGUGCGCGUGGGGUGUGAAAUCUGGCCGCUUAACGGCCAGGCGCCAUCCCAUACGGCACGCCUGGAGCCUUGCAGAGGUCGGUGGAAUUGCCGGUGUAGUGGUGAAAUGCGUAGAGAUCGGCAGGAACACCCAGGGGGAAACCAGCCGACUGGGCAAGUGCUGACGCUGAGGUGCGAGAGCGUGGGGAGCGAACAGG
rnacentral:rRNA from 1 species